rnacentral:lncRNA from 1 species
UGUUUGGGGCAAGCACUUAACCAUCUUCUCAGUCCAGUUCUUGAUCUUUUUUUUUUUUUUGACAGUUUCUCCUGCUCCUGCUUUGCCAGUCCUCUAAGCUAAUCCUUUGACAUCAGAUGUUGGCAUCCUAUACAACUCCCGUCUACUGAGAGCAGGUGCGCAUUUGGGAGCAUGAACAAUUCAUUUCAUGAGUUCAUUUCAUGAUUACCUAUCUCAAGGAAAGGAACCUUCAUACACAAUGUGCUCCAUCUUCAAGCAGAAUGGAGAGUAAAGGGUUGCAAGAGGAACACAACACUGGGCAGGGAUCAGAAUGACAAAAACCAAACCCAUGGGCUUAGAGGAAAACGUGGAAGACAAGGCAGGAGGUAGGGAUGGCUGCAAAUAAGAAAGGAGUUGAAUAGGGGCAACCUUCUAAAGCCAGCACAAGGCGGGG